GAACUGGUGUAAUGUAGUGGUUUGAGUGUUGGACUACAACUCUGGAGACCAGGGUUCAAAUCCCAGCUGGGCCA
rnacentral:tRNA from 1 species